GGUGGAUAAACAAGUUGAUUCAUUGGCUAACUUAAUUACAAUUUUUUUAAAUAAAAAAAUUACAAACAUUCUAUAAUUCAAAUAUAAACAAAUUUUACUCCUGUUUAAUUAAUUUUGAAAAUAGGGAACUUAAAUUUUUUUUUUCAAGCAAAAAAUAGUAAUAAAUAUCUUUUUAUGAAAUUAAAAUUAAAUUUUAAUAAAAUAAAAUUAGGUGGUGGGUUGGUGGGUCAACCCGGCCCAUCACUGGUUCA
rnacentral:lncRNA from 1 species